rnacentral:rRNA from 1 species
UCGGGAAUAUUGCGCAAUGGAGGAAACUCUGACGCAGUGACGCCGCGUAUAGGAAGAAGGUUUUCGGAUUGUAAACUAUUGUCGUUAGGGAAGAUACAAGACAGUACCUAAGGAGGAAGCUCCGGCUAACUACGUGCCAGCAGCCGCGGUAAUACGUAGGGAGCAAGCGUUAUCCGGAUUUACUGGGUGUAAAGGGAGCGUAGACGGAACGGCAAGUUUGAAGUGAAAUACCCGGGCUUAACCCGGGAACUGCUUUGAAAACUGUCGAUCUAGAGUGUCGGAGAGGUAAGUGGAAUUCCUGGUGUAGUAGUGAAAUGCGUAGAUAUCAGGAAGAACACCGGAGGCGAAGGCGGCUUACUGGACGAUAACUGACGUUGAGGCUCGAAAGCGUGGGGAGCAAACAGGAUUAGAUACCCUGGUAGU